rnacentral:rRNA from 1 species
CCUACGGGUGGCAGCAGUGGGGAAUAUUGCACAAUGGGGGAAACCCUGAUGCAGCGACGCCGCGUGAGCGAUGCAGUAUUUCGGUAUGUAAAGCUCUAUCAGCAGGGAAGAAAAUGACGGUACCUGACUAAGAAGCCACGGCUAACUACGUGCCAGCAGCCGCGGUAAUACGUAGGGGGCAAGCGUUAUCCGGAUUUACUGGGUGUAAAGGGAGCGUAGACGGAAGAGCAAGUCUGAAGUGAAAGCCCGCGGCCCAACUGGGGGACUGCUUUGGAAGCUGCCGGGCUAGGGUGCUGGAGAGGUAAGCGGAAGUCCUAGUGUAGCGGUGAAAUGCGUAGAUAUUAGAAGGAAAACAAGUGGCGAAGGCGGCUUACUGGACAGUAACUGACGUUGAGGCUCGAAAGCGUGGGAGCAAACAGGAUUAGAUACCCGGGUAGUC